rnacentral:rRNA from 1 species
GAUGAACGCUGGCGGCGUGCCUAACACAUGCAAGUCGAACGGAGAUUCCGGACGGACGUUUUCGGAUGGAAGCCUGUAAUUCUUAGUGGCGGACGGGUGAGUAACGCGUGGGCAACCUGCCCUAUACAGGGGGAUAGCAGCUGGAAACGGCUGGUAAGACCGCAUAAGUCGGCGAGACCGCAUGGUUUUGCCGGGAAAUGAGCAAUCAGGUAUAGGAUGGGCCCGCGUCCGAUUAGCCAGUUGGCAGGGUAAAAGCCUACCAAAGCAACGAUCGGUAGCCGGACUGAGAGGUCGGACGGCCACAUUGGGACUGAGACACGGCCCAAACUCCUACGGGAAGCAGCAGUGGGGGAUAGUGCACAAUGGAGGAAACUCUGAUGCAGCGACGCCGCGUGAGUGAAGAAGUAUUUCGGUAUGUAAAGCUCUAUCAGCAGGGAAGAUGAUGACGGUACCUGACUAAGAAGCCCCGGCUAACUACGUG